AAAGACUUAGUCCUAACCUUACCGUUAAUUCUUGCCAAAUAUAUACAUGCAAGUAUCCGCACCCCAGUGUAAAUGCCCUCGGACCCUAUCUCCCAUAGGCAAGAGGAGCAGGUAUCAGGCACACCCACAGCUGUAGCCCAAGACACCUUGCUUAGCCACGCCCCCACGGGUAUUCAGCAGUAAUUAACAUUAAGCAAUAAGCGUAAGCUUGACUUAGUUAUGGCAACACUCAGGGUUGGUAAAUCUUGUGCCAGCCACCGCGGUCACACAAGAGACCCAAAUUAACUGUAAUACGGCGUAAAGAGUGGCACUAUGCUAUCGCAACAACUAAGAUCAAAGCACAACUGAGCUGUCAUAAGCCCAAGAUGUAUCUAAAGCCACCAUCAAGACGAUCUUAGCAAUAACGACAAAUUAAACUCCACGAAAGCUAGGGCACAAACUGGGAUUAGAUACCCCACUAUGCCUAGCCCUAAAUCAACGGUACUUACCCCACUGAAGUAUCCGCCUGAGAACUACGAGCACAAACGCUUAAAACUCUAAGGACUUGGCGGUGCCCCAAACCCACCUAGAGGAGCCUGUUCUAUAAUCGAUAACCCACGAUACACCCAACCACUCCUUGCCAGCGCAGCCUACAUACCGCCGUCGCCAGCUCACCUCCCCUGAGAGCCCAACAGUGAACACAACAGCCUUCACCCGCUAACAAGACAGGUCAAGGUAUAGCCCACGGAGUGGAAGAAAUGGGCUACAUUUUCUAAAAUAGAUAAACUACGGAAGGGGGUGUGAAAUCUCCCCCAGAAGGCGGAUUUAGCAGUAAAGUGGGACAAUAAUGCCCUCUUUAAACUGGCCCUGGGGCACGUACAUACCGCCCGUCACCCUCCUCACAAGCUACAGACUCUCAUAAAUAAUUACACUAAUUAGCCAAAGACGAGGUAAGUCGUAACAAGGUAAGUGUACCGGAAGGUGCACUAGCACCAGACGAGCACCAUUGACCCCCCAUGCUUUAGUGUGCUUCUCGUGAUGAUGCUAAGUGCCUCUACUAUACUUACCCAGGAA
rnacentral:ncRNA from 1 species